GAUGAACGCUGGCGGCUUUCCUCCUACAUUCAAUUCGAGCGAACAUACGAGGAGCUUUCUCCUCUGACGUUAGCGGCGGACGGGUGAGUAACACGUGGAUAACCUACCUAUAAGACUGGGAUAACUUCGUGAAACCGGAGCUAAUCCCGGAUAAUAUAUUUAACCGCAUGGUUCAAUAGUUAAAGACGGUUUUGCUGUCACUUAUAGAUGGAUCCGCGCCGCCUUAGCUAGUUGGUAAGGUAACGGCUUACCAAGGCAACGAUGCGUAGCCGACCUGAGAGGGUGAGAGGCCACAGUGGAACUGAGACACGGACCAGACUCAUACGGGAGGCAGCAGUAGGGAAUCUUAAGCAAUGGGCGAAAGCCUGAAGGAGCAACGCCGAGUGAGUGAUGAAGGUCUUCGGAUAGUAAAAAGAGGGUAUGAGGGAAGAACAAAUGUGUAAGUAACUAUGAACGUCUUGAAGGUACCUAAGCAGAAAGCCAAGGCGAACUACGUG
rnacentral:rRNA from 1 species